rnacentral:rRNA from 1 species
CGUAGGUGGCAAGCGUUGUCCGGAUUUAUUGGGUUUAAAGGGUGCGUAGGUGGCCCUGUAAGUCAGUGGUGAAAUAUCUCAGCUUAACUGAGAGGGUGCCAUUGAUACUGCAGGGCUUGAGUACAGAUGAGGUAGGCGGAAUUGACGGUGUAGCGGUGAAAUGCAUAGAUAUCGUCAAGAACACCGAUAGCGAAGGCAGCUUACCAAGCUGUAACUGACACUGAGGCACGAAAGUGUGGGGAUCAAACAGGAUUAGAUACCCUGGUUGUCCACACUGUAAACGUUGAUGACUCGAUGUUGGCGAUACACAGCCAGCGUCCAAGAGCAAUCGUUAAGUCAUCCACCUGGGGAGUACGCCGGCAACGGUG